rnacentral:tRNA from 1 species
GGGGUUGUAGCUUAGUGGUAGAGCACUUACCUAGCAUGUGUGAGGCACUGGGUUUGAUUCUCAGCACCACA